GCCCGCCUAGCUCAAUCGGAUAGAGCGUCAGACUUUUAAGGCAAGGCAAUCUGAAGGCUGCGAGUUCGACCCUCGCGGUGGGCU